UUAUAUUUAGAGAGAGUGCCGUCAGUCGAAUGGAAGACGAAAAACAAGGUUAUAGGUUUCUAAGGAGCCCGAAUCAAAUCAAAUCGCAAUCGCAAACCGAUCUUCCACUGAAUCUAUGAAAUUCCAAAAUAAACUCCAUCGCCCCCGCUCUCUUCAGUCAUCAACUGGCAGAGAAACCGAACGGAUCGGGUUAAUUGAUUCUCUUCCCUCUCCGGAAUCUACUCAAGUCCGAAUCGCAUCGACAUCGAAAAAGCCCUAGACAUUGCAAUUUAAAAACACAAAGAAUCGUAAUCAAAUCGAUUCUUGUAUCGCUGUUGCAUCAAGGGGUCGCAUAGCGGAGUGGAUAUCGCAUUAGAUUCCGAAUCUAAAGGUCGUGGGUUCAAAUCCCACUGCGAUCACACCAUUUUACUUUUCUUCUUCCAUUCUUACAUGGAUCCCCCAUUUGGUUUCUCCACUCAUUUCUCAAUCAAUAUCCCUCUGGGAGAAGACACUACACUUACAAUCAAAGUUCACUUUUAAACAUGUUAAAACAAUCUUCCGUUUUUAGAAGUUGUUCUUAUUGCUGUUCAUUCUUUUAAAGGUUAUCGAAUCUUUUAGAAUUUUGAAUAAAAAUCAAGAGUCAAUAUAAUGUAAUCACCUAGAACGAAAUUUUGGAAAUUGUUUAUAUUUACUCAAAAUUAAUUUUAUUAUUUAAUCUUACAUUUUGUUAGAAAGAAUUAUUUUAGAUGACAAAGGAUUGAAAAUAUUUACCAAAUAUAACAUUGAUACACAUUUUACAAAUAUAUUGGUCACUUUACAAAAGUUAAUAAACUUCACCCAUAUCUUAUAAGUAUAUUGGUUCAUUCUAGUAUAUUCACAAAAAAAAAAUGUAAUUUUCAAAUAAUAAAUAUUAAUGAUCAAUUAUUGAAAAUUUGUUUGAUUUUAACUUUUUACAUACAUUUUCAAAAUUAACUCACUAGUCCAUUAAUGUCCCUAUUUUUUUAUAUCUAUAUAUAUAUAUUUAAAAAUGCUCCUUAUAAAAAAUACCCUCAAACUUUAAUAUUUAUUUUUAGGUAAGUGUCACACUACUUCAUAUCUCAAAAUUUCAUCCAAAAAUAAGAAGCGUCUACUAAGUGAUUUUUUAGACAAAUGAUCAAGUAAAAAAUUUAUAAUGUAUGGAGGUAAUUUGUAGAAUUAUAUUGACAUUCAUUUUGUUCUUUUUUGUGCUAAGCACACUAAUAAACAUUGAAUUUUACUACUU